rnacentral:rRNA from 1 species
AAAACUUUCAACAACGGAUCUCUUGGUUCCGGCAUCGAUGAAGAACGCAGCGAAAUGCGAUAAGUAAUGCGAAUUGCAGAAUUCCGUGAGUCAUCGAAUCUUUGAACGCACAUUGCGCCCUUUGGUAUUCCGAAGGGCAUGCCUGUCCGAGCGUCAUU